AACUUCAAGAUAAGAUUUCCCACCGCAAGGGUAAGACCCCAGAAAGACUAUCUGGUUGAUAGGUCGAAGGUGUAAGUGCAGCAAUGUAUUUGGCUUAUCGAUACUAAUAGGUCGAGGACUUGACCAA
rnacentral:rRNA from 1 species